rnacentral:misc_RNA from 1 species
CUAGUGUCGGCUCCUCUCAAAUGGAUCAGCUUGCCAGUGUUUGGUGGCAUCACGGGUGUGAUAACUAUCUACGCUUGUGGUUUUCCGCCAUGUAACCUUCAGCAAUGGAGGUUCGCUGGAGCUCACAGAUGUCUCUCCUCGGCGAGGACAGCUUUUGAACGUUUGAUCUCAAAUCAGGUAGGACUACCCGCUGAACUUAA